GACGAACGCUGGCGGCGUGCCUAAUACAUGCAAGUAGGACGCACAGUCUAUACCGUAGCUUGCUACACCAUAGGCUGUGAGUUGCGAACGGGUGAGUAACGCGUAGGUAACCUGCCUAUUAGAGGGGGAUAACUAUUGGAAACGAUAGCUAAUACCGCAUAACAGUAUGUAACACAUGUUAGAUGCUUGAAAGAUGCAAUUGCAUCGCUAGUAGAUGGACCUGCGUUGUAUUAGCUAGUAGGUAGGGUAAUGGCCUACCUAGGCGACGAUACAUAGCCGACCUGAGAGGGUGAUCGGCCACCCUGGGACUGAGACACGGCCCAGACUCCUACGGGAGGCAGCAGUAGGGAAUCUUCGGCAAUGGGGGGAACCCUGACCGAGAAACGCCGCGUGAGUGAAGAAGGUUUUCGGAUCGCAAAGCUCUGUUGUUAAGGAAGAACGAGUGUGAGAAUGGAAAGUUCAUACUGUGACGGUACUUAAACAGAAAGGGACGGCUAACUACGUG
rnacentral:rRNA from 1 species